rnacentral:rRNA from 1 species
AUGAGUUCAUUACAGUACCUUAAAAAGGUGGUUUAUUUUUUUAUACUAACGGAGCUCAUGAGAGUUUCUAUUGAAGUUUUGUGUUAUGUAGUUUUCAAGUUUUUGGGUAAAGAUUUGAUGGAUUUUGGAAUAAGGAGUGGCAAGAGCCUAAACUUGGGGAUGCUCAAGGCACCCCAAGGUAAUUCAAGGACAACCAAAAGCCUAGGCUUGGGGAUGCCCGGGAAGGCAUCCCCUCUUUUGUCUUCAUCUAUUGGUAACUUUACUUGUCGCUAUAUUUUUAUUCACCAUAUGAUAUGUGUUUUGCUUGGAGCGUCUUGUAUGAUUUGA